UACGAAGGGGGCUAGCGUUGCUCGGAAUCACUGGGCGUAAAGCGCACGUAGGCGGAUUGUUAAGUCGGGGGUGAAAUCCUGGAGCUCAACUCCAGAACUGCCUCCGAUACUGGCGAUCUUGGAGUCCGGGAGAGGUGAGUGGAACUGCGAGUGUAGAGGUGAAAUUCGUAGAUAUUCGCAAGAACACCAGUGGCGAAGGCGGCUCACUGGCCCGGUACUGACGCUGAGGUGCGAAAGCGUGGGGAGCAAACAGG
rnacentral:rRNA from 1 species